rnacentral:tRNA from 1 species
GCCGGAGUGGUGGAAUUGGCAGACACACCGUGUUCAGGGCGCGGCGCUCGCAAGAGCAUGCGGGUUCAAGUCCCGCCUCCGGCA